UACGUAGGGGGCGAGCGUUGUCCUGAAUGAUUGGGCGUAAAGGGCGCGUAGGCGGCCCGGUAAGUCUGAAGUGAAAGUCCUGUUUUUAAGAUGGGAAUUGCUUUGGAUACUGUCGGGCUUGAGUGCAGGAGAGGUAAGUGGAAUUCCCAGUAUAGCGGUGAAAUGCGCAGAGAUUGGGAGGAACACCAGUGGCGAAGGCUACUUACUGGACUGUAACUGACGCUGAGGCGCGAAAGAGUGGGGAGCAAAC
rnacentral:rRNA from 1 species